rnacentral:rRNA from 1 species
CGUAGGGACCAAGCGUUGUUCGGAUUUACUGGGCGUAAAGGGCGCGUAGGCGGCAAUUCAAGUCAUCUGUGAAAUCUCCGGGCUUAACCCGGAACGGUCAGAUGAUACUGCUUUGCUAGAGUGCGGAAGGGGCAAUCGGAAUUCUUGGUGUAGCGGUGAAAUGCGUAGAUAUCAAGAGGAACACCUGAGGUGAAGACGGGUUGCUGGGCCGACACUGACGCUGACAGCGCGAAAGCCAGGGGAGCAAACGGGAUUAGAUACCCCGGUAGUCCUGGCCCUAAACGAUGAAUACUUGGUGUCUGGAGUUAUUAGUGCUCCGGGUGCCGUCGCUAACGUUUUUAGUAUUCCGCCUGGGGAGUACGCUCGCAAGAGUG